rnacentral:lncRNA from 1 species
CCUCGGUCCAGCCGCAACACAAUACACCACACGGCCGAACCAUAUUUCGCGGGCAAGGCGACCUUGGGCCCCCGGCUCGCGUCGCAGCGCGGGAAGAUCACAUUUCACCAGCCGUGUCGACGCGGCAACACGGCGGAGCGGAGCCGGGCUCCGCGAGAGGGGCGUAUGCGGCCAAACGCCCGUUUUCGAGGAGAGGGGAUGCCCCACGACUUCCCCGCGGCUCCCGCGCCAUCCGGCGGCGACCCAACGACAGCCAUUUCUGCAGCCUAGUCGCCUGUCAUGUCCGCACGUGUAUCCUUCCAGACGAUAACUCCGCAGUGAAACCGGCUGAUUGUUCCUUGUUUUGGAGGUGAUAAGUGUCCGCGAAUAGUCGAUUUCAGUGUUCGGUGUAGUGUCCUCCCGCGUGAUACAAUAUUUCCAGUUCGAAUCGGUCGUUUCCGCUACAAGCUGCCCAAAUAUCCGUAAUAAUUAACGUAAAAAACUCAAUUUUUUCCAACUUUAACCUCAACAGUGAUAUCGUUGAUUUAUUGUCCAAUCAAGGCGACACGGAAAACAUCUCUUUGUCACGUCCGUGACGAACGCUUUCGAGACGCGAAUGAUCCUCUUAUCAGUGCCCAACUUGCCGCAAGCCGAGCCCACGUGUGUCCGUCAUCGGUGACGUCAUUUCAAAAUGGCAAUGGACAAACUCAUGCUCCUGAACGAGGUCGCUCGGAGCAUCCUGGAGGCGGAGAACGAUGAUAGCGGACCUUCACAACCCAAAAAGCCCAACGUCGCCGAGGACCCCGAUCCAGGACCUUUCUUCGUCGAGGACCGAGACCUUUCGCCGAGACCUUUCGUGCCUGUGACGCAGUGCUGCUACCUCCUGUGCCACGACAAAGUUCCCAAGGAUGACCAACGGAAACUUUGGGACCUCUGGGAGAACACGAUGGACAAAGCCGCUCAAGACGAGUAUCUGUCCAGCUUGAUCGAGUUCAGACCGCCGGCCACCGUCAAAGUUGAACCGAAAAGGAAACGGGAAUUCCUUUGGAGGUACACCAUCAACCCAAACGGCACCGAGAUCCAGUGCUGCCAAAAAUUCCUGCUCAAACUCUACCAAAUCUCCGAGAAGCGACUGCGCGUGAUCCAAGAGAAAACGCGAAACGGUGACUCCUUUGUCGAGCGGCGCGGGAAGCACUCCCGUUCCCGUCCGAAGCUGAAAACACAGAACCUCUGGGACUUGGCCGAGGAGCACCUGGCCACCCUCCCUUUCACGCAGGGCCUCGACGGGACGGACAAGAGGUACCUCAAGGACUCCUCGCUCACCGUCAAACAACUCUGGGCCAUGUUCGAGGAGUGGUACGAGGCGACGACCGGGCAGGAGCUGGUCGGGCUGUCCUACAAGACGUACCACAAGAAGUUCCAGGCCUCCAAGAAGUACGCGUUCCUCUACCAGUUGGUCAUCCCUGACGAGAUCAGCGGGAAUACGUGGCUCGACGAGCCGACCAAACAGCUCAUGGAGGAGGAGAAACCCGCCCGAAAGGAAAGAAACGAAAAGGAAAGUCGAAGAAAUGAAAAUUAUGAGUGCCUGAAUAUUCUGUUGUAAUGUAAUUGUCGGUAUACACAUAAAAAUAGCUAAGACUGAAACAAACAGCUAUAUUUAUCGAUAUCUGAUUGUUCCUCUUGUAAAAUAAUUGUCAAUACAAGUUAAUUUUGUAAAAUGACGGGUUUUGCUUCCUUUCGCUCUUUUUAGAAGUCUUACACGGAGGAAAAAAAGAAAGAUUCGACUAUAAAUCGUCACUUUCCGGCCGGAGUAGCGCAAGCGCCAGCCAACUUUUAA